rnacentral:rRNA from 1 species
AGAAUGAACGCUGGCGGCGCGCCUAAUACAUGCAAGUCGAGCGAGAAGACGUAGCAAUACGUUUGUAAAGCGGCGAACGGGUGAGGAAUACAUGGGUAACCUACCCUUGUAGUGGGGAAUAACUAGCUGAAAAGGUUAGCUAAUACCGCGUACGCUUCCUGGACUUCGGUUCAGGGAGGAAAGCGAUAGCCGAGGGUAUCGCGCUCUUGGAUGGGCUCAUGUCCUAUCAGCUUGUUGGNGAGGUAACGGCUCACCAAAGGCUUCGACGGGUUAGCUGGUCUGAGAGGGACGAUCAGCC